CGUCUAUAUACGUAUAGCAUAUCAAUAAGCGGAGGAAAAGAAACUAACAAGGAUUCCCUUAGUAACGGCGAGUGAAGCGGGAAGAGCUCAAAUUUGAAAUCUUCAAGGUUCUACCUUGACGAAUUGUAGUUUAUAGAAGUGUUUUCUGUUAGUAGAGUGGCAAAAGUUCUUUGGAAUAGGACAUCAUAGAGGGUGAGAAUCCCGUAUUUGGUCAUUCCUUCUAGCUUUGUGAUACACUUUCAAGAGUCGGAUUGUUUGGGAAUGCAGUCCAAAAUGGGUGGUAAAUUUCAUCUAAAGCUAAAUAUUGGCGAGAGACCGAUAGCGAACAAGUACCGUGAGGGAAAGAUGAAAAGAACUUUGAAAAGAGAGUUAAACAGUACGUGAAAUUGUCAAAAGGGAAGCGUUUGACACCAGUGUUGUUUUUCCGAAAAUCAAUUACGAAUGUUUUAUUUUUGAGGAAGUUAUGACUUCAUCGGCUUGCUUCUCUCUUUAUGAAACUUUCUUAAUGCACUUUUCGGUUAACAAGUCAACAUCAAUUUCCUUUGUUGUAAAAGAGUAUGAGGAAGGUGGCUUUCUUUUCGGAGAAAGUGUUUACAGCCUUGUACCUCUGCAAUCGGAGAGAUUGAGGUCUGCAGCGUAGAUCCUUCGGGGUUAGAUACAUUUGUGCUAAGUUAUAGCUUUUCAUAGACAACUUGUUGACUAUGUUUAGUCUUGUAGCUUACUCGCUUAUGCUAUUUUACCUACGCUUAGGAUGUUGAUAUGCAUGACUGAUAU
rnacentral:rRNA from 1 species